UACGUAGGGUGCUAGCGUUGUUCGGAUUUACUGGGCGUAAAGCGCACGUAGGCGGAUUGUUAAGUCAGGGGUGAAAUCCUGGAGCUCAACUCCAGAACUGCCUUUGAUACUGGCAAUCUCGAGUCCGGAAGAGGUAAGUGGAACUCCUAGUGUAGAGGUGGAAUUCGUAGAUAUUAGGAAGAACACCAGUGGCGAAGGCGGCUUACUGGUCCGGAACUGACGCUGAGGUGCGAAAGCGUGGGGAGCAAACAGG
rnacentral:rRNA from 1 species